GGGCCGGUCGUCUAGUCUGGUUAGGACGCUACUCUCACACAGUAGAGGUCUCAGGUUCGAAUCCUGGCCGGCCCA
rnacentral:tRNA from 1 species